GUCGGGUUCGGGAUGAAGUGAUUGACCUUCUCGCCCAUCACCGCCAGCGUCCGCUUGCCGUUCGUGACCAUCUGCACGCCGCGGGUGCGGAACUCCUU
rnacentral:sRNA from 1 species